ACCGCACAGUGUACUCUCAACGUUCACGUUUGUUGAAUGUUGUUGGUACCACUGCUGAAAAAUGAAUUACUGAGUGGGGCUAAGAUCAACUCCUUUUUCGUUUUUUGCCCUAUCGCUAUAACCCAUGAGGAAUGCUUCAAUUGCAAUCAUUUCUCUUUCGGCUCUCCUGUUCACAACUUGCACGUGCUUAAUGCGGCACGCGAAUUCUCGCGGUCGCGUGGAGUUUUCAUCCUUUCAAUGUUCAUCUUAUGACCUCCGGUAUCGAUGUCGUGCAUGAUUCGUCAUCGCACCAUGGCGAUGUCAUCACAUCUAGAGUAAAUUUUUUGGGAAAGCAUUUAAAAUUUCAUCAUAUUUAUUAGUAUUUGGAUAGAUGAAAAAUAUUCCUGUCUUUUCUGAUAUCUUAAUACUGAAAAGAAUUUUAACAUGCAACACAAUUUGGCGCAGUCGGUAGUUCUUCUUUUUUUUGAAAAGAAUUUCUAACGAAAUUUAAUUCACGGAGGAAAUCAAUUCAUUUGAUCAUCGUUGAAGAAGGAAGUGGCAAUUUCACCUUCGGCAACCAGAAGAAAAAAACCUUGUGUGGCAGUCAUUCAAUCAAAACAAAAUGUCAAAAGGAACGUCCAACAUCGCUUUAUUAAAACAAAAAAACCGAACAGGGAUAGCCUCAAUAAUGAUUUUAUCACCACCACCUUUAGCUAGAUUUGAAAACAUGACAAAUGAAGAAUUAGUGGAAUUAAUAUUUGAAUCACGAAGAGUAAUACAAAUAAUGAAUAACCCAGAUAAUAAUGAGGAAAUAAAGGAAAAGUGGAAGAUAUAUAAUGAAUGUUUGGAGUAAUUAAUAUGUAGUAUGUAACAUACUACAUAUGCAAUAUGUAAUAGUUUGAACAAAUACAAACCAGUUAAAUUACAAAGAACACCCAUAAUAUUAAUGGAGGAUUACAAGUUGAGAAUGUUCAACGGACAGGAUGUAGAUCGACAGAAACAGUAUCUAGGGGGAAUAUUCCUGAAAAAAUCAGAUGUGCUGAGACCUUUAUUGGGGCAGAUUGACAUGAGUGUCAAUCACCAGGGAGCAACAAGUCUUGGUUCGGUAAUUAUCUCAAGAUAUUUGCAUUCAGACAAUGCACAGUCAUUGUCACAUGGAAUGGACUAACAGAUAUAAAAAAUAUUAAGAAAACUUAGGAUAACAGGAAUAAGGUGCUGUGAUUUUUAUUUUUUUUUCAAAAGUAAUGUUUGAAAAUAUACUGUCAGUCAAUACUACUUAAAUGCUUUAUGGGAUAUAUGCUUUAACAUAAUUCUCAAUUCCAUAUAAGUUUGGUUCAAACAAUUUUAUCAAAAAAUGAAAGACCUUUAAUAGAUUUCAAAAGUUAACUAUUCAGAGUUCUUUAAUUUGCUAUCUAAUGAUUAAUGUGUUAAAGUAUUCACAUUAAUAGUUGCUGAAUAUCACACUCGGUUUUGUAAUAGUGUCUUAUGAAGACUGUUAUUACUUUUUUAUGGACUAUUAUCAUCUUUCAUCGACAUCUAAUUACUAUUUUUAAAACGCAAGUUUUUUUUAUAUAUAUAUUAAA